CAGCCGCCGCGGUAAUACGAGGGGGGCAAGCGUUGUUCGGAAUUAUUGGGCGUAAAGGGUGCGUAGGCGGUUUCGUAAGUCUUAUGUGAAAUCUAUGGGCUCAACCCAUAGUCUGCAUGGGAAACUGCGAGGCUUGAGGAUGGGAGAGGUGAGUGGAAUUUCCGGUGUAGCGGUGAAAUGCGUAGAUAUCGGAAGGAACGCCUGUGGCGGAAGCGGCCCACUGGACCAUUUCUGACGCUGAUGCACGAAAGCUAGGGGAGCAAACAGGAUUAGAUACCCCAGUAGUCCCUGUCUCUUAUAC
rnacentral:rRNA from 1 species